GGGAGGGCGGGGGCCAAAGGGGGCCAAGGGCUGGGGAGCCGGGCGCGGAGAGCGGCCCGUCGCGUUCAUUUCCAUAAGAAAGCUGAAAUCGCGGUUGGAGGGAGGAUUUCUCGCCCUAGCCGCCCUCCCCCCUACACCCGGGUUUCUGCGAGACGCGGGCUCCGGAGCUCAGAGCCCUGCGUUGCGCGCUGGUCUCCGAUGGUAUUGAUAAAACGCGGUUUCACACGGCGCCCCGGCCGAGGCCGGUUUCCGUCUGUGUGCGGAGUGGAAGGAGCGCGGGAAGGGUUGACAAGACAGAGACAUUAAGUUGCAGAAAAUGCAGCGGACUGAUCAGCCAGAAUGCAUCUCAUUUGCACUUGUACGGAGCCAGCAUGCAAUGUUCCAGCCGACUAGAUGGGCUUGCCUUCUGCCGAGAGGCAGUCCUGGAGGACCCAACUAAUGUGCAAUCUCCCAGGAAGCUCUUCAUCAGAACAUCCCUUGUCCUUUUGUUUUUGUUUUUGUAUUAAAAAGAUGUUUUUGCUUUCCUCUCAG
ensembl:lncRNA